rnacentral:rRNA from 1 species
ACGAACGCUGGCGGCGUGCUUAACACAUGCAAGUCGAACGGAAAGGCCCUGCUUUUGUGGGGUGCUCGAGUGGCGAACGGGUGAGUAACACGUGAGUAACCUGCCCUUGACUUUGGGAUAACUUCAGGAAACUGGGGCUAAUACCGGAUAGGAGCUCCUGCUGCAUGGUGGGGGUUGGAAAGUUUCGGCGGUUGGGGAUGGACUCGCAGCUUAUCAGCUUGUUGGUGGGGUAGUGGCUUACCAAGGCUUUGACGGGUAGCCGGCCUGAGAGGGUGACCGGCCACAUAGGGACUGAGAUACGGCCCAGACUCCUACGGGAGGCAGCAGUGGGGAAUAUUGCACAAUGGGCGGAAGCCUGAUGCAGAAACGCCGCGUGCGGGAUGACGGCCUUCGGGUUGUAAACCGCUUUCGCCUGUGACGAAGCGUGAGUGACGGUAAUGGGUAAAGAAGCACCGGCUAACUACGUG